AUUUGAGAAUUUCAAUAAAUAUAAGUCUUCUGUUGAAAGACAAAGUGGUUGUAGAUUUAAGACUCUUCGAACAGAUAGAGGUGGUGAAUUUAUAUCAAAUGAAUUCAACACCUAUUGCGAGGAAAAUGGUUUUCAAAGAGAGCUCACAACACCGUAUACUCUAGAGCAGAAUGGUGUUGUCGAACGUAAGAAUCGGAUAGUCGUUGAAAUGGAUAGAAUCAUGAUGCAAGCUAGAGGUGUAUCAAAAUAUUUAUGGACUGAAGCUGUCUACAUGCUAAACAUUUCACCCACCAAGGUUGUUCUUAAUCAAGCACCAUAUGAAGCAUGGAGAGGUAACAAGCCCAAGGGAACGCAUCCAGCUCUUCUCCAACAAGUUGCAGUUGUGCUACUCAUUAAUCAAAAACCUCUGCUCCAGCACGUGAUCACAGCUUGAUCCCCCGAGGAAGUGGCAGCAGUUCUUCUGCAAUUGAUUCUUUCAGUGAGACUCCACCAGCGAAAUUCUGAUCGUUAAGGGAGAUUUAUGAAAAUUGUUCUUCUGCUUUGUCUGUUACUGAACCCUAAUUUUUCAAAGAAGUUGUAGACAGUAAAGCAUGGAAAAAUGCAAUGAUAUAAGAGAUGCAAGAAAUUGAGAAGAAUCAAACAUGGAAACUGGUUAAUCUACCGGAAGGAAAGAAACCCAUUGGACUCAAAUGGGUGUUCAAAAUCAAGUGUCAUGCAGAUGGGAGCAUACAACGAUACAAAUUAAGGAUUGUAGCUAAAGAUAUGCACAACAUGAAGGUAUUGAUUACAAUUAAACGUUUUCACCUGUCGCUCGCUUUGAAACGUUGAGAAUACUGUUAUCUUUGGCUGCUAAACUGAGUUGUCCCAUUUAUCAAUUUGAUGUUAAAUCUGCAUUCUUAAAUGGGGAUUUGGAAGAGGAUGUUUAUGCUUCCCAAUCUAAGGGUUUUGGUGUUAGUGGCAAUAAGAGCAAAGUAUACAAGCUCACGAAGUCUCUUUAUGAGAUAAAACAAGGGCCACAGGCAUGGUACAACGGGGGUCAUCUCAACAAGUUUAGGGGCCUAAAUGAAUUUCAGAAAAAGACCCUAUUGUUUUUAGUUGACAAACAUCUAAUGAAUAAUUAUAACAUACUCAAUGUAAUCGUACAAAUGAUGUCUGGAGAGACAAGAUAUAUGUAGAUAUUAUGAAGUAAGAAUGCAAAUAAUAUGAAAUUUCAAUGAAAAUUAUGUAAUAUAAAGUUGGAAUAAUAAAACACGACUCAAAAUAUUUAAAAAUACGAUGAUAUUAAAAUAGUAUUGCGAUGAAUUUGAUAAGUAUAUAAAUAAUAUUUUUAAAAAAUGUUGAUUAGUUUUAGUGUUUGAAAUUUUAAUAAAACAUCAAAAUAAAUUUGAUCUUUUUAUAAAUACACAACAAUAUAUUUUACAUAAUGUAGAAUGUUCGAACAUUUGAGAGAUUUCACAAUAUUCAAUAGUGAGAGAAUAAAAAAUAGUGAAAGGAUAAUAAAGAGAAGUAAAUAUAAGAAAAAAAUACUUUUAGUUCAUUAUGAUCGUUAGAAUAUAAAUGAGCUAGACAAUAAAAUAGAUAGUCACAUGUGAAACUAGAAAAGAUACUGCAAUUAACUACCGAUAUAAUAAUGUAGAAAAUAUUCUACAAUCAACUAAACAAUAUUCAAUUUCUCAAUUAUAACUUCUAUACAAAUUUUUUUCUUCAAAUUUAUCAAUACAUUAUUUUUUGUUGACAAUAUAUAUACAUAUUUUGGAGAAAAUGGAGGCCCCAAAAAAAUUGGAGCCCCAAGCGAUUGCUUUAGUGGCCUUAUGAUUGAAACGGACCUGGGUACAACAAAAUUGACUCAUACUUUCUAAGGAAUGGAUUCAAAAGGAGCGAGAAUGAGCCUACAUUGUAUGUAAAGAAACAAGGUACAAGUGAUUUUUUGGUAGUUUGUCUCUAUGUGGAUGACAUGAUCUAUAUGGGGUCAUGUGAAACUUUUGUUGCUGAAUUUAAAUCUGGCAUGAUGAAGGAGUUUGAAAUGUCAGAUUUAGGUAUUUUGCAAUACUUUGUUGGUCUUCAAGUGAAAUAGGUAGAAGAUGGUAUUUUUGUUUCUCAAACGAAGUAUGCAAAAGACCUCCUCUUCAAGUUCGGUAUGCAUCAUUGUAAAGCGGCUGCCACACCCAAGAAUGCAACCGAAAAGUUUCAGCUUGAAGAUAGCACAGAUCGUGCCGAUCCUAGUCACUACAGAAGCUUAAUUGGAGGUUUGAAUUACCUAACACAUACU